AUAAUGGGUCAGCGACUUAUAUUCUGUAGCAAGGUUAACCGAAUAGGGGAGCCGAAGGGAAACCGAGUCUUAACUGGGCGUUAAGUUGCAGGGUAUAGACCCGAAACCCGGUGAUCUAGCCAUGGGCAGGUUGAAGGUUGGGUAACACUAACUGGAGGACCGAACCGACUAAUGUUGAAAAAUUAGCGGAUGACUUGUGGCUGGGGGUGAAAGGCCAAUCAAACCGGGAGAUAGCUGGUUCUCCCCGAAAGCUAUUUAGGUAGCGCCUCGUGAAUUCAUCUCCGGGGGUAGAGCACUGUUUCGGCAAGGGGGUCAUCCCGACUUACCAACCCGAUGCAAACUGCGAAUACCGGAGAAUGUUAUCACGGGAGACACACGGCGGGUGCUAACGUCCGUCGUGAAGAGGGAAACAACCCAGACCGCCAGCUAAGGUCCCAAAGUCAUGGUUAAGUGGGAAACGAUGUGGGAAGGCCCAGACAGCCAGGAUGUUGGCUUAGAAGCAGCCAUCAUUUAAAGAAAGCGUAAUAGCUCACUGGUCGAGUCGGCCUGCGCGGAAGAUGUAACGGGGCUAAACCAUGCACCGAAGCUGCGGCAGCGACGCUUAUGCGUUGUUGGGUAGGGGAGCGUUCUGUAAGCCUGCGAAGGUGUGCUGUGAGGCAUGCUGGAGGUAUCAGAAGUGCGAAUGCUGACAUAAGUAACGAUAAAGCGGGUGAAAAGCCCGCUCGCCGGAAGACCAAGGGUUCCUGUCCAACGUUAAUCGGGGCAGGGUGAGUCGACCCCUAAGGCGAGGCCGAAAGGCGUAGUCGAUGGGAAACAGGUUAAUAUUCCUGUACUUGGUGUUACUGCGAAGGGGG
rnacentral:rRNA from 1 species